GCCAGGUUGGCAGAGUGGCUAUGCGUCCGCCUGCAGAGCGGAGAAGGGGGGUUCGAUUCCCUCACCUGGCU
rnacentral:tRNA from 1 species